rnacentral:rRNA from 1 species
GGAGUAGUAGUAGUUAUUUUCUUAAAACUUAAUAAAUUUGGCGGUAUUUUAUUCUAUUUAGAGGAACUUGUUUUAUAAUUGAUAAUCCUCAUUUUAUCUUACUUAAUUUUGUUUAAUUUGUAUAUCGUCGUCAUCAAAAUUUCUUAAAAAAGAGAAAAUUUUUAGGGAUUUUAAUUGAAAAAAAUGUCAGAUCAAGGUGCAGUUUAUGAUUAAGAAAAAAUGAGUUACAAUAAAUUUAUUUAUACAGUAAUAAAGAUGUAAUUUUUUAUUUAAGGUGGAUUUAAUAGUAAUAUAAAUUAAAGAGUUUAUUUGAUUUUAGUUCUAAAAUAUGUACAAAUCGCCCU